ensembl:lncRNA
UGUCACUCCAUUCUCCUCCCCUCCGGCUCCCUCGGAUGCUUUAAUGCCUCGGAUGCUUCAGCCUCCCCUCCGUCCCUCCCGGGGGUGUGGUACUCGCAGGCUCGGGCCGCCGCACUACGCAGGCGCAGGCUCGGACGCGCCUCCCGCCUCGGCGCAAGUGGCUCGAGGCCUAUUGGGAGUCGUAGUCCUCGGUGCGCCAGGGCGGGGCGAGCUGAGGCAGCAGGCAGAGUCUGGCCGGCCCUCGACUGAGGGCGCCGGAGACACGCCCUGCACGGCGCCGAGAGCGGAGGUGGCCGCCGCCCGGCCGGCAGGCUAGUCAAAAGCACCCCAGGCCCGCGGGAGCCUCCGGUCCCGGGGUGCGGGCCCGCUCGCCUCCUUCCCGCCCUGUCCAGAGCCGGGAACACGGAGUCCUCAGGCCACGGCGGCGGUAGGCGAAGCGCCCCGGCCAAGCGGGAACAGGGCGGGAGCCGUGGGGGUCCGGGUCGCUCAGGCGGGAGUACAGUCAGCCCGCUGCCCACCUGGGGCCCUGUGGGUCCACGAGUGAGCCGCUGGGCGCCGGAGCCGGCAUUCGCCCGCCCGCCCGGCCGCUGCCUGCUGUCUCGCACGCACACGUGCCAAGUCGCUCACAGAGCUGCACUUUGUUUGCUUGGAAGGCGGGAAGGGCUCCGCGACUCGGCGGCGACUCGGCGCCUGCCUCGGUGUUGGCGCAGCCCGAGCGCCCCCAGCCGGCUGCGGGUCCACGCGGAUCGCGCCUCGGCAGGGAUCUGAGCGUGGGAAGCGGCACGCUGUGCUAGUAAAACGUCUUGCAGCACGCCCGCCCCGCCAGCCAACAAUCUUCAUUACAGCUGGACUCGCUCAGAUAGCCUGAGUAAUAGCAAGUCUGCAGUGUGGAGUGUUCAUGAGGAACAGGCAGACCAGCGCCAACUCUGCAUGGAAGUGUGUUCAAAUUCUGGCUUUUUUAUGUUGGGACUCCUAGAUCCUUCCUCUGUUAAUGCUCUGAACAUCAGACUCCAGAUCUAGGCCCAGUCCCGCUCCUUUGCUUUCUCCGAAAACCCUCGUGCCAGGAAAUGGACGUUCUCUCGUCACCUGGGGUCUGCACUCUUGUCCUUUGGGCUGGGGACUGGGCCGCUUGGCCCCAGGGAACAAUGAACCCUUUGCCUUCUCUGCUUCUGAGUCUUGCGGGCCGGAUAUCCGUUCUGAAGCCAACCCUGGGCCGUCUCUGUCCAAAAGGAGGAAACUUUCUGUCUCCAGGGCUGCCAGGAAGUAGCAGGGAGGUGCUGAGAGAAACAGAGAACAAUUAUUCAUUGGAGAAUAUAAAAAAAUUAAUAGCCUUUCUAGGCCUUCGAAGCUGGAUUCUAACAGCCCAGGAUUGUCUUCUUUCCUGGUGGAUAUAUCCGACGCCACCAGUUCCUGUUGUCUAGAUUUGGGUCAGUGGGUCUCCCUGGGCCUCACUUAACCUGUCUGCAAAGUUUGCGUGUCAGAAGGCAGGGAGCUGAGCUUGGGCCCCUUUCAUUCCCGGAAGUAUUGUUCGAAGCCACCCAGGCUUGCUCUUUGCUACAGAGCACAUGCCCAGAGCCAUAACUUGUGAUGAAAUGAUGGAUCUCGAAAAGAGAGCCACUUAAAGCUGGCAGCAUCGUAGAGCCCACCAACUACAGUGGGCCACUUGCCCACAGCCUAGGGCCGGAUCCGACCAAAGUUUAUUUGGGUGACAUUAAAAAAUAAAUAAAUUUGAAUAUUUUUAAGUGGCUUGUGCUCCAUAACAACCUGGUUAGGUUUCUUGUGCUUACAAAUGCUGGGGCUCUUAUAACAAAGCAGAUGCUGGUUAAAAUGCAGACCUAUGUCUGGGGCAAGUCCUGAAAUUCUGUUAUUUCCAACAAACUCUAAGGUUCUGCCAAUCCUGCUGGUCAGUAGCCUACACUGAGUGUCAAGGCUCUGCAGUUAACCUUAAUCCUCACCACUCUACUGAAGUCAACAGUGAUUUUACCUAUCUGGCCUUAUGGACAUUUGAAUUUGCAACCUUGGAAACCUCUGCCUGUCUCCCUCAUUUUAUUGAUGUGAAACAGACCCAGAGAGAAUAAGUGAAUCCUGCUGGCCACUCAGCAAAUAGAUGUUAGCCUAUCCAAUUUUCUAUUCACUACAGUUUGUAGAUCCUCAGGAAGCAGUUGCAAAGAGACCUUUCUUUCUCUUAUUCCCUUCUUCGAAGUUUAUGAAGGCAAUUUCCCUGGGAGCUCACGACUAGGAAGGAACACAGACUGGCAGACAGACUCCCUCCAUGGUGGAAGAAAGGCCAUCAUAGAGACAUACACAAAGGACUUUGC